UCCCUGGUAGUAUAUCGGUUAGUACACGCGCCUGUCAUGUGAUGGUGGGUUUAAAAUCCUUUAUACCCGCGCGAAAGCUGGGUUCGACUCCCAGCCAGGGAG